GGGGUCGACUGGUUUUGACAGCAAGUCGAAUUGAACAGUAAGCACGCCGAGAACUGGGGCAGUUCUCGUAAAUCAAAAGUCCCAACACUUUUAAACGGCGAAAAUAACUACGCUUUAGCUGCAUAAUCCGAAUUACAGUAAGAUAAUGCCACGUUCCUGUUAGACAGGAAAGCUGGAUUCUCCUUGAAAGCCUUGGUUUGUGGCGUUCAGAAAAGGGGAACCGUAAAAAUAAACCUAGGUUUGGUCCUGCUUCGAAGCCAUUCUGACAACUAAGAAGCUAAGUGUUGUGUGGCUGUUCCCGGCCUUGCGCAACAACGAAAAACCAAUCGGGAAAUAAGCGUGUAGAAAGCUCUUUAAUUGCUUGUUUGGACCCGGGUUCGAUUCCCGGCGACUCCAC
rnacentral:tmRNA from 1 species